CAGCUAUGGAAUUACACACAGCUUUCAUUUCUAAAGGCCGUCUUGAAGAAAAUUAAACCAGAAAGAUCAAGAAAGUCUCGCUUUUGUCACGCAGGCUGGAGUGCAAUGGUGUGAUCUUGGCUCACUGCAACCUCCAACUACCAGGUUCAAGCAAUUCUCCUGCCUCAGCCUCCCGAAUAGCUGGGACUACAAGCGCAUGCCACCAUGCCAGGCUCAUUUUUGAAUUUUUAGUAGACACACGGUUUUGCCUUAUUGGCCAGGCUGGUCUCAAACUCCUCACCUCGGGACAUCCACUCGGCUUGGCCUCCCUAAAUGCUGGGAUUACAAGCAUGAGCCACUGCGCCUGACCAGUUUUUAAAUAAAGCACUUUAAAUGAGU
rnacentral:lncRNA from 1 species